rnacentral:lncRNA from 1 species
CAAAUCGCCACACAACGGAAGAUUUGUGUCCACAGACCUAACAAAGAAGAAGACACCGCGAAUUUGUGUCUGGUGUCUUUACCUGAAGACAGGGGAACACGAACAUGAAAAAGAUGUGAAGUAUGUCAACAUGUCGGCGUUCUCAAACGAACUUUGCGUUGUUCCUGUGUGUGGUGGUCGUGUGCGAGCUCUAUCUGAUAUACGCCGUGAUGAACAACGAACACGUCAGCGCCCACGCAUUGGCGCUCAACAAACAACGGAAGGCGUGGAGGAAGUCUCACGAAAACAAGACUGAGGACAAAACGAACAGAGAACGGGAAGAGAAGAAAAUACUGGAAUCACUGAUGUUGAAAAAGAUCCGAGAACGAGGAGUCUAGAUCUAUCAAAUCAUGGAGCACCCUGGAUCCAUCUCUGUGCACUUGCCACUUAAGGUGUGAAUAAUGGAUGUAACGAGCGACCCAAUACUCAAAGACAACUUGACAAGACCAAAUUCCUGCCAACUGACACUGUUGCUUUAUAUACCGACUGAAAUGUAAUACAGGGUUUAGUUGUACAAAUUUUGCACCACGGUAGUUUCAUUUAAAUGUUCAUUUUUUUCUUUCAAUAUUUUGUACGUAAGGAUAAAACGUAGUUUCUUGCUUAUAAUAUUAAUUUCUAUUAUGCACAUAUCUAGGCAUUGGCGUAGCCAUGGUUUUAAAUUGAAUGUGGGGAGAGGAGGGACCCACUGUCUACGAGUCUGUUAAUUCCUGUUUUUACACGUUAUGGGGCGACAUGCAUAUAUAAAAUGUUUGUGGGUGGGUUGAAGAUUUGAUUGGAUGCCUGGACCCCACCCCUGACUAUGCCAGUGUAUUGGGGAUAUUCUUGUUAAUAUCUUGUACAAUAAUUAAAUACUGUACUUACACGCUGUGAUAUAUUGCCAUUUUGGUACACAUUUAUUUGUCAUGCUUACAAGUUGUAUGCUAUUUAUUUAGUAUAUUUAUGUUUAUUUAUGACGAGUGAAAACGAUACCAAAGCUGAGCAGGUUGUUUAUACGUAACUCAUGAUAGGUAGCCUGGCACCUGGCAUGUAAUUAACAAUCUCAGAGGAUAGUCAUGUUGGGUUUCCCAUUCCAACUAGUGUUCCACAGCUGGCAUGUUAUUAAGGGCUGUAAUGCAUGCUAUACUGGCUGUAGUAUAGGUAGGCCACAGACAAAAGACCGGUGUGGCGACACAGGGAUUGCUUCUUUAUGUUACAAUAAUGUUAAGACGCCAUUCAAAUAAGGUGCUGGGGUGUCGCUAAACAAUCAAUGUGCUGGGGUGUCCGUUCUAUAUGAAAAGUGGGUGGGGCGUUUGUAAAACAUGCUGCUGAUACCAAAACACGCAGAACUCCCAGAUCAAGUGUGUAGUGAGGCAUAUAUAUACAACCAGUAUCCCAUAUAAGUCUAGAUGGUAUGACCCGUCUAUGGGAUAUCCCAUAAAAGUCUGGAUGGUUUGUCCUAUGGGGAAAAGUUAGUUUUGUUUAACAACAUCACUAGAUCACAUUGAUUUAUUAAUCAUCGGCUAUUGGAUGUCAGUUGGUAAUUUUGAUAUAUAGUCUUAAAGGAAACCCGCUACAUUUUUUCAUUAAUAGCAAGGAUAUUUUGUAUGCAUCAUCCCACAGCCUUUGAUACACCAGUUUAAAUGCACUGGAUGAACCAAAAACAGCCCAACAGACCCAUUGACGGGGAUCGAACCCAAACUGACCGUACAUCAAGCAGCGCUUUACCACUGGGCUACAUGCCCCUCCCCCAUCUAUGGAAAAAUGCAUAUAAAAGAUCACUUGCUGCUUUUCUGUAGGAGUAGCCUCCGUCAUGGUCUUGGGUUUCCUCUCAGACACUAAAAACCAAGUGUCGCAAUAAUCACAUUACAAACCAAAUUUAGUGUAGAUUGAUUGAUUUCAACUUAUUUUCGUGCUUAUAUCCAAUUAAGGUUCAAGCACGCUGUCCUGGGCACACACCUCAGCUAUCUGGGCUG